UACGUAGGGGGCAAGCGUUGUCCGGAAUCAUUGGGCGUAAAGCGCGCGUAGGCGGCCCGGUAAGUCCGUUGUGAAAGUCAAAGGCUCAACCUUUGAACGCCGAUGGAUACUGCCGGGCUAGAGUCCGGAAGAGGCGAGUGGAAUUCCUGGUGUAGCGGUGAAAUGCGCAGAUAUCAGGAAGAACACCAAUGGCGAAAGCAGCUCUCUGGGACGGUACCGACGCUGAGACGCGAAAGCGUGGGGAGCGAACAGG
rnacentral:rRNA from 1 species